rnacentral:rRNA from 1 species
AUUGAACGCUGGCGGCAGGCCUAACACAUGCAAGUCGAGCGGUAGAGAGAAGCUUGCUUCUCUUGAGAGCGGCGGACGGGUGAGUAAUGCCUAGGAAUCUGCCUGGUAGUGGGGGAUAACGUUCGGAAACGGACGCUAAUACCGCAUACGUCCUACGGGAGAAAGCAGGGGACCUUCGGGCCUUGCGCUAUCAGAUGAGCCUAGGUCGGAUUAGCUAGUUGGUGAAGUAAUGGCUCACCAAGGCGACGAUCCGUAACUGGUCUGAGAGGAUGAUCAGUCACACUGGAACUGAGACACGGUCCAGACUCCUACGGGAGGCAGCAGUGGGGAAUAUUGGACAAUGGGCGAAAGACCUGAUCCAGCCAUGCCGCGUGUGUGAAGAAAGGUCUUCGGAUUGUAAAGCACUUU